rnacentral:tRNA from 1 species
GGAGGGUAUAGCUCAGUGGUAGAGUGCAUGCCUAGCAUGCACGAGGUCCUGGGUUCAAUCCCCAGUACCUCCA